rnacentral:lncRNA from 1 species
CUACACUAUUCUAUAAUUUUCCAAAAGUUACACUUUAAUUUUAACACCCCCUCCCAUCCCACACCCUCGCCCAAGCACCCCAUGCUUAGGGGGAGUAUUAAUAAUCAAGAAUAUGUUGGUAGUCACUCUUCUUAGCGAUAAGAAUGGACAUUGGGCCUAACUCAAUCCUAAAAGCAAGUGAGGAUUGCCCAAGCAAUAUAAGGAGACUAAGGACCUCAAAUCUCUCCGAUGUGGGACAACUCAACACCCCCUAUGCCCAGAUCUCUGGAGCGUGGACAACAUAAAUGGGGGCCCAACAUCGGUAACAAUAAUUGGGCUCAGAUCUCUGGAGCGUGGACAACAUAAAUUGGGGCCCAACAUCGGUAACAAUAAUUGGGAUGGGCGUGGCUCUGAUACCAUGAAAAGAAUGGACCUUGGGCCUAACUCAACCCCAAAAGCUAGCUUAUGAGAUAAGGAUUGCCCAAGCCAUACAAGGAGACCAAGGACCUCAAAUCCCUCCGAUGUGGGACAACUCAACACUUUGGCUUAGUAUUUUUUUAAAAUAAAAAAUACGCAAAUAUUUGCCUAUAGGAGGCAAGAAUUUAAAACAAAAGACCAGAUCUCAAUAAAUAUGAUAUAUGGAUAUCAAAGUGAAACCAGAGUUACAUUUUUGACUGAAGAGAAAAACAUAGCAUUUCUACUUCUCCUUAUUGCCCAUAUCACUAUAUAUAUCAAUAUAUGUUACCAUUAGUUAAUUAAAAUUAAGUUGAUAUUUUGCCCUCUGAUCAGGAGAAAAGAGUCCAAAGUGUUUUUC